rnacentral:rRNA from 1 species
CAUCAUGGCCCUUAUGUCCAGGGCUACACACGUGCUACAAUGGGUGAGACAGAGUGACGCGAAGCCGCGAGGUGGAGCAAAUCGCAGAAAAUACAUCCGUAGUUCGGAUUGGAGUCUGAAACCCGAACCUCCAUGAAGGUGGAAUCGCUAGUAAUCGCGCAUCAGCAUGGCGCGGUGAAUACGUUCCCGGGCCUU